GAUGAACGCUAGCGGGAGGCUUAACACAUGCAAGUCGAGGGGCAGCACGAUGUAGCAAUACGUUGGUGGCGACCGGCGCACGGGUGAGUAACACGUAUGCAACCUACCCUGUACAGGGGGAUAACCCGGAGAAAUUCGGACUAAUAUCCCAUAAAGAUAUUUGAGGGCAUCCUUGGAUAUUUAAAGCUCAGGCGGUACGGGAUGGGCAUGCGGAACAUUAGCUAGUUGGCAGGGUAACGGCCUACCAAGGCAACGAUGUUUAGGGGACCUGAGAGGGUGAUCCCCCACACUGGUACUGAGACACGGACCAGACUCCUACGGGAGGCAGCAGUGAGGAAUAUUGGUCAAUGGGCGCAAGCCUGAACCAGCCAUCCCGCGUGCAGGAAGACGGCCCUAUGGG
rnacentral:rRNA from 1 species